GUUAUCAAAGGACCUGCUGACACAAAUGCGAUUUUCGUUCGGCUGAUUAAAUUCUUACGAACAUUUUUUUGAACAUCCCUUAAAUAUCUAAAAAAUUUCUUUGCGGAAUUACUUACGUAGGGCGAAAAAUGUUAAAGAAGAGUGGACACUUUUGCUUUAAAACAGAGUACGAGUAGUAUUUCAAGAAAAAUCGCAUUGCUUGCUUAUUCAGUACACAUAUGCUCUCGGGUCCUAUAUUAAGCUAGACAAAUUAAAUAGCAUUAAUGACUUAUUUACUGCAAAAACUAUUUAAAAAAGGAUUAUUAUAUUUGUAUCAUGUGUUUUUCAUGUUCCUUUGUUGUAGAGUAAAAAGCAAGAGUAGAUACAUUUAUUCAUAUCAGUCCAUAAAUUGGUCUACAACUAAUAAUAAAUUCAUUGAUUUAUAAGUCAUAAAAAUAUGGCAAUAGCUUUAGUAAAGUUAUUACUUUUAUAUAAUUAGCCUCGCCACAUAAAUCAUGUUUGGCUUAUCGCAUUAAGCAAACGAACAAUCGUUAUUCAGCCAAUCAUGUUCUAAAAAUAACAUUCAUUUUCCACGCUAGAAUAAUUCCUUAAUUAACUUCUAUUGUGUACGUUCAGAAGCGAAUACUCUUUAAUUGUUCGAAAUCAAGGCGUUAAGGCUAUAUAAGUCGCGAUUAAUUAGCGUGCAGUGAUAAACGCCUUUGCGUGCAAGGUAUAUCUUUGUGUUGAUCACUUGUCUGGGGAGCUUCAACACCAAAGCACACCAGAUGGAGGUGAGCUUGGUGUGGUUCACUGCAAUUCUACUUCUGGACUUCGUAUCUGCCUCUUCCUCGCUUCCGGUGUGGUGCUGUAUUUUUCGAUCAACAUGGUUUAUUUACUGCUUGGAGCGUCGUGGUUAGCGGUAAUCAAUCUGGGAGAUCUGGCUUUGCAAUGCCCAACGAGAUUUGCAAAGGAAGAUGUGUUUGCUGAAGAUGGAGAUAAUGAGUUUAGAGAUAAUUACAGUAAAAACUCCCAAAGUACCAAUUACCUUCCACCGAAAACAACGAAGCGGUCACUACGAGGAGAAGAAGCAGUAUUGCAGUAGACCAUACCAGUCUCGUCUAUGUCUGGCGUUCUUUGGUGUUGAAGCUCUUCUAACAAGUGUUCAACACAAAGAUAUACCUUGCACACAACGACAUUUAUCACAGAAAAUAAUAAAAAAAUUGCUUUCACACACAA